CCCUUUUGUAAUUUAUAAAAAAUAUUGCUUUUUCGCAGCGAAAAAGAGAUCUUCCAAAAGU
rnacentral:tRNA from 1 species